UGGGGAAUCUUGCACAAUGGGGGCAACCCUGAUGCAGCGACGCCGCGUGAGCGAUGAAGCCCUUCGGGGCGUAAAGCUCUUUCGACCGGAACGAUAAUGACGGUACCGGGAGAAGAAGCUGCGGCUAACUACGUGCCAGCAGCCGCGGUAAUACGUAGGUAGCAAGCGUUGUUCGGAGUUACUGGGCGUAAAGAGUGCGUAGGCGGUUUUCUAAGUUCGGUGUGAAAUCUCCCGGCUUAACUGGGAGGGUGCGCCGAAGACUGGGAAGCUGGAGUGUGGGAAAGGCAGGCGGAAUUCCUGGUGUAGCGGUGAAAUGCGUAGAUAUCAGGAGGAACACCGGCGGUGUAGACGGCUUGCUAGACCAUAACUGACGCUGAGGCACGAAAGCGUGGGUAGCAAACA
rnacentral:rRNA from 1 species